AUAAUGUAACGACCCGAAUUUCGAUCUCGGAACUCGUUAGCCGGCUAAGGCCCAAGCAAUACAUCAAAACUAAAAUGUUUGUUUAUAAAUACCCCAUUUUCACAUUGUUUUCUCCACCUGCAUCAAAAAGAAAUCAGAAAAGUUAGAGAGAAGAAGAAGUGAAAAAGAGAGAGUGAGAGAAAGAAAGAUAGGAACCACUGCAUGCUGCCACCAGGAGUCCUCGCCGGAGCCACCGCACGCCAGGACAUCGUCAAGCUCGUCAUCACCAUCAACCGCAGCUGAGUAUCGUCGGAAACCGCCGCCUCUUAAGCUUUGUUUUCGUCCGUUCAGUAUAUCGGCCAUAUCUUCUUAACCGUUGAGAAUCUCGCGCAUGCAGAGCCACCAUCGUGUUCCUCUCGUCGAGACGAAGCCGUAGCCACCGACCACGCCGCAAUCGGAGUCCGGACGAAGCCGCUAGAGCAUCCGGAAGUUUCGCCUCUGUGCGCGCGUGAGUUACACGCGCCGCCGCCAGAAAUCGUCUCCGCCGCCAGACCACCACCGGAACGCCGUCGCUGUCGCCGUGCUCCGCCUUCUGUCGCCGCCGUCGUCCGCCGUCACCACCGGUAAGCCAUCGCCGUCGCCGUCGGUGACCGUCGCCGGUGACUCGCCGACGACUCGCCAACUCGGCUGAGUCGACCCGGUGAGUCAACUCGGUUGACUCGGUUAACCGCUGGUUUGACUGGUUUGACCGGUUUAAAUUGAUUUCGUUUCGGUUAGGGUAAACCGGUCGGUUAGGACAAAUUGAUUUCUGGUCAAGGGUUGACCGGAUUGACCUUUGACCAUCGAAUUGACUUUUCCAUAAACCUUGACCAGACCCGUUUUAAACCGUUCGAAAGGCGUUCUGACUCGAUUUUUCGCCCUGAUUUCAGAUUUGGAGUCUAUUUGAGCAUCUGGAGUUCAUAGAUACCACAUUUCCCUAUUGCUAAGGUGAGACCGACGAGCAGGAGUGAUUAUCGGACCGGUGCUAUUGGGCUUUUGGGCUUCUAUCGCUUUUAUCGUUAUCGGGCUUUUAGGCCUUUGGCUUUUAUCGUUUAUGUUAUUUCCUAUUUCAGACUUAUACCGUUAUCUAUAUUUCGGAUGUUAUUUUAUAUUAUGGAUUUCCAGCGUGGACGUUGACUUUUAUAUUUAUAAAUAGAGAUUUCA